UACGUAGGGUGCGAGCGUUAAUCGGAAUUACUGGGCGUAAAGCGUGCGCAGGCGGUUUGUAAGCCAGAUGUGAAAUCCCCGGGCUUAACCUGGGAAUGGCAUUUGGGACUGCAAGGCUUGAGUUUGGCAGAGGAGACUGGAAUUCCUGGUGUAGCAGUGAAAUGCGUAGAUAUCAGGAGGAAUACCGAUGGCGAAGGCAGGUCUCUGGGCUAGAACUGACGCUCAUGCACGAAAGCGUGGGGAGCAAACGAGG
rnacentral:rRNA from 1 species